UCCUAACGGCUCAUUUUUCCGGGGAAAUGAAAACACUCUCGUUGAGUCAUAUCAGUUCAGGUCCGUUAUAGCGGCUUCCCAGCGUUUACAUCCCCAAACUGAACAGCGUCAGGAGUGUGGACAGGAUCAAGUUAAGGGAAUGACCUGCGAAAUAAAGGAUGAGCCCUGAAACACCACAUCACCACAGCUGUACUCAUCUUGUGUCUUGUUGCUCUCAUUGACGAGGGGGGAUGAUAAAUUAUCGACGAUGGCGAGGAGAGCAACGGAUGAGGCAUGAUUGCUGCGCGCUCCCGAGCAGUACAGGCUCGUUCGCGGGUCAGACGCUCCGUGGCUGUGGGAGUGAACCGCAAUAAGAAAUAAUUCAUGGGGAAAAGGUCGGCAUUUUGACGGAGCGAGAACUGCUCCUGUAUGUUGCACAUUUGCUUUGAAUAAAACCAAGUCAUUUACUUCCUGCAACGUCUCAAUAAACACGGGGAAUUUAUUUGCAUUAAAG